AUCACUCGGGUAUCUUGUUAAAAUACAGAUUCUGAUUCAUUAGGUCCUGGGUAAGACCUGAGAUUCUGCAUUUUUAGCAAGUUCUCAGGUGGUGCUGA
rnacentral:pre_miRNA from 1 species